rnacentral:rRNA from 1 species
AUGCAAGUCGAGCGAACAGACGAGGAGCUUGCUCCUUUGACGUUAGCGGCGGACGGGUGAGUAACACGUGGGUAACCUACCUAUAAGACUGGGAUAACUUCGGGAAACCGGAGCUAAUACCGGAUAAUAUUUCGAACCGCAUGGUUCGAUAGUGAAAGAUGGCUUUGCUAUCACUUAUAGAUGGACCUGCGCCGUAUUAGCUAGUUGGUAAGGUAACGGCUUACCAAGGCAACGAUACGUAGCCGACCUGAGAGGGUGAUCGGCCACACUGGAACUGAGACACGGUCCAGACUCCUACGGGAGGCAGCAGUAGGGAAUCUUCCGCAAUGGGCGAAAGCCUGACGGAGCAACGCCGCGUGAGUGAUGAAGGUCUUCGGAUCGUAAAACUCUGUUAUUAGGGAAGAACAAACGUGUAAGUAACUGUGCACGUCUUGACGGUACCUAAUCAGAA